rnacentral:rRNA from 1 species
UACGUAGGGUGCAAGCGUUGUUCGGAGUGACUGGGCGUAAAGGGCGCGUAGGUGGAUUUGUGUGUCGAUUGUGAAAUCCCGGGGCUCAACCCCGGAAUGGCAGUCGAAACUGCGGAUCUUGAAUGCCUAAGAGGUUAGUGGAAUUCCAGGUGUAGGAGUGAAAUCCGUAGAUAUCUGGAGGAACACCGGAGGCGAAGGCGGCUAACUGGUGGUGCAUUGACACUGAAGCGCGAAAGCGUGGGGAGCAAAC